rnacentral:SRP_RNA from 1 species
GUUGGGCCUUGUGGCACAUGCCUGGAAUCCUGCUAUGUGGAGAGGCUGACAUAGGUGGAUUACCUGAGCUCAGGAGUUCUCAGUUACAGUAAAGCUAAGGUCAACUGGGUGUCUGAAGUUGGGCACCAAUAUAGUGGGCCCCUGGGGAGCUGGGGCCACCAGGCUACCUAAGGAGAUGUGAACCAGCUCAAACAGGGCAGGCCAAAACUUCUGUGCUGAUCAUCAGUGGGAUUGGCUUGUGAGCGACUUCUGUACUUCCAGCUUGGGAGAGAUAGAGAGAUCCAGUCUCA